UGUGCCCAUUGUGAACAGUGAACAAAGGAACUACAUUCUGUAAAAUGUAGAGCAAAAAUGAGGUAGUGGCAACUUAGGUAGGAAAGUGCUCAUAGAACUAUUAUAACAUAAACUAAAUGAGAACAACUUGAACUCCUAGAGCAACAAAUAAAAAAGGGACAGGAUAUCAGAUGUAGAAGGUUCAACAGAAAGAUAUGGUAUUUAUCAUACUACUAUUUUUGGAAUCAUAAGAUAAGGUGGUAUUUAUCAUACUACUAUUAACAGGGAGCAACGCGAACUCAAUCAAUGAACCAUAUGCUGAAAUUAAAUUCAUCAAUAAGCCAGUGCUACAGCAAGGAGACAACACGGAAGCUCAUCAGAAUGGCAAGCAGUAGAACAAGGUGGCAGCAGCAGGCGCCAGACAUGCUGCUGGCGGCGCAGCUAUUGUGUUGGAGGUAUGCCCUAGAGGCAAUCAUAGAGAUAAUGAUAUUCCAUUUGUAUCCAUGAUUUAUAUUGUGUUCAUUCAAUAUCCAUUAAAGGCUACUUGAAUUGAUUUGCAAUUAUGUGAAUUGUGUGUGAAACUCUUUACUUGUAU
rnacentral:lncRNA from 1 species